rnacentral:rRNA from 1 species
CCUACGGGAGGCAGCAGUGGGGAAUAUUGGACAAUGAGGGGAACCCUGAUCCAGCGACGCCGCGUGAGUGAAGAAGUAUUUCGGUAUGUAAAGCUCUAUCAGCAGGGAAGAAAGUGAUGACGGUUCCUCACUAAGAAGCCCCGGCUAACUACGUGCCAGCAGCCGCGGUAAUACGGAGGGGGCAAGCGUUAUGCGGAUUUACGGGGGGGAAAGGGAGCGUAGACGGCGAUGCACGUCUGAAGUGAAAGGCGGGGGCCUAACCCCCGGACUGCUUUGGAAACUGGGUGGCUGGAGUGCAGGAGAGGUAAGCGGAAUUCCUAGUGGAGCGGUGAAAUGCGUAGAUAUUAGGAGGAACACCAGUGGCGAAGGCGGCUUACUGGACUGUAACUGACGUUGAGGCUCGAAAGCGUGGGGAGCAAACAGGAUUAGAUACCCUAGUAGUC